CUCACUGUUCCUUGAGAGAGUUCUGUAUAAGCAUCACUUACGUGAUCAAACCUGUCUUACCAGAGAGGCAACAGAACUAUGUCUAUUCUUUGUCAGGAUUAAUGAAUUCUAUCUGCAGCUUGAAGUGAAAUAUAGUCCAUUGCCCUGGACACUCUGGGCAAACACAAAUGGUGCUAUAGCUGAUGACCACAAAAAGCUACACAGUUCCCUCUCCCUUUCUCACAAGUUCAUUUCACUGUUAUUUGCUGUUUUAACUCUUUUUAUGUUUGAGCUAAGAACUCCAACUCAAGUUUUUUUUUUCUUUUUUUUUUUUUUUUUUUUUUUUUUUUUUUUUUUUCUUUUUUCCCUUUUUCUUUAACUUAGGACUGAUGGGUCAUGCUUCACCAGGUAUCCUGACCAUGAUAGUUCCUCUGAGACAUUAUUGAAUUACAAGGUCUGAGAAGUCCUGAGCACCAGCUAACAGAUCCUUGAGAAGAGGGUCAAGACACAAAGGGAUGUGUUCUUCACUGAAGUCAUGUGAAGCAGUGGAAAGAUGUUCUCCCCUUUCUCUUGGGGAAUUCUUUAGAGAAGGGGAAGGAAGGGGGUUGCUACAAAAAGAAAAAUGCAGUCCAGAAUUGCCUGGUUACUUUGACAUUAGAAUACUGGUGCUGCAGACGCUGUCAGGGCUGAUCUAAGCUGCGGCUUGACUUGAUUUGCCUGGAAAUCUGCCAGUGGCAAGACCACCUCCCGAGCUGAAGUUUAAGGAAAGUGGAGAGAAAGGUUUCCAGAGAAAAGUAAAAUGAGAUUAAAAUGAAGAAUAAAUCAAGGUGAAAGAACUCUCUUCUUUCUUUC
rnacentral:lncRNA from 1 species